AGUACAUUCUUCGGACAAAAACUUAAAACGAAACAUAAAUAAUACUCAUCUGUCCUUCGAUCCUCCCUUUUGAAUUCCGUAAACAUUGCCGUUCACACUCUCUCUGGAAAAACGAAAAGAAUGGCUUCAGAAUACAGUUCUGACAAAGAAAUUGCCAAUGCUUCAAGCAAUGAGAUGCUUUUGGACGACGAAGAACCCCUAGAGACUGUUGAAGAUGAAAAAUCAAGCCCCAUCAGCUGAUGUUAUUGUUGACGAUCUCAGCGUUCGAGCCUGGACGUCCAGUCGGACCCCACCUACGGCUGUCUGUGACCAGAGGAGACCGGAGGAGUUAUCUAGGGCCGCUGUCCAUCUUCAAGCUGUACUUUAAAACGUGCGUUGUCCAGCAACUACGUCUGUGGACGAACACGAAUGUAGAGAGGCUCCUAGUUCCACCAAACCUAGAAUGUAUCCUGGAUAGGUAGAUGUGCAGGAGGAUGAGUUCUACAAGUUCAUAGGGCUGCUCAUGUACAUGGGCUUGGUACAGGUGCCCAAUUGUAGGUCUUUAUUGGAGUAGGAGGAGUCUUUUCAUGGACUUUGGGCUCGUUAUGUCUAAGUUCAGGUUUCGACAGGUGUUAUGUUUCUUGAAAAUUUCUUAUAUCGAUACUGAGAAACUGGGGGAUAAAUUGUGUUAAGUUCUUUAUUAAAUUUUUUUUUACGUAAUUAGAAAAAAAAAGCUUGAAUUUGCAUCAGCCAGGGAAAACUAUUUCUAUUGAUGAAAGAAUGGUGCGGAACAAAGGUAGGUUUUCGCUUCGUCAGUAUAUUAGAGAUAAACCUACAAAAAGGGGGAUGAAACUUUUGGUGUUGGCUGAUUCAGGGAAAGGUUAUACUUAAAAGUUUGAUGUGUACUUGUGAAAGACUAGGGAGCGAUCUAAACUAGUGGAUUAGCUCAUGAUGUCGUUAUGAAUCGAGUCCAGUUUCUCAUUACUCAAGGCAACAUGGGUUAUAAUCUUGUUGUUGUUGUUUGUUUUGUUUUUUGUAUAAUCUUUAUUACUGUGUCCAUCUUUUUCUUAAUUUCUUGAAAAAGGGAAUGUUAGCCUGUGGUAUUCAAGGCAACAUGGGUUAUAAUCUUCUUGUUGUUGUUUGUUGUUUUUUUUGGUAUAAUCUUUAUUACUGUGUUCAUCUUUUUCUUAAUUUCUUGAAAAAGGGAAUGUUAGCCUGUGGUACAAUAAUCUGUAAUCACAAAGGAUUUUUAAACAUGUGAAAAAAUGGGAAAGCUAGAGGGGAUAUGAGACAGGGUGAUACUGUGAGUUCAAUGGAAAGGCAAUAAAACGGUUCCCGUCAUUUUAGAUAUGCACAAUGCUAAAUACUUUUCCUUGACUAAAGGAGAGCCAAAAAUAACGGACGUUUUGAGCAUCUGCUUCAAAGCCAAAAGUAUUCACUGUUUACGCAAUCAUACCAGGCAUGGUCAGAUCAAGUCAAAGGAAAAACUGUACACUUUUGUUAUCAAAAAUUCAGUAUUGAAAGGAAAACAAAGUUCUUGUGCUGCCUGUGACACUUUCCUGUGUUUGCAAGAGGAUAGGAACUGUCUUCUUGAUUAUUAUACGAUGUGAUAACUUGUACCCAAUCUGCAUUAUACAGUAGGCUGUACGUAUCAUUAUGCUAGUACUGGAGAAUGUUUUCCAUAUUAGAUUGGUAAGUUCUAAAUUCAUAGAUUGCUUGUACAUUGUAUUCAUGUUCAAUUCAGCUUACACAGAAAAACUGCUCAUUUAGUCUAUGUAGACUUACAUUGGUAUGAAAGUUAAUUGACACUUUGCUCUUUUUUCUUCUCUUGUAUGCAAUACCAUAAAAUGCCUGUCUCUCAGUCAAAUACUGCCAGAAUCCAGUGAAUUUUGGAUAUAUGUUGCAGAAUUGAAUGCAGUUUAUGUGCAUAAUAAUAGUAUUGGCUUUUCUCCUGAUACUUAUUUUGUCUCUUUGUGUUUAUGUUAUGUCCAAAAUUUUACAAGAAUUCCGAGAAUAUUUAUUUUUUCAACUGAAGUGGAAAAAAAACCCCAACCAUUUAUCUCUGCCAUGGUUCCAAAGCACGUUAUUGAAAUCAAAUCCCAUUCCCCAAAGCUGAAAAUGAUUGCUUUCUGUAACAUCCUUACAGAUAUGAUGUAUGUUUAUAAAACAUGAUGAGU
rnacentral:lncRNA from 1 species